UAGAGAACACACUACAUGCUAAAUUUGCAAAACUUCAAUGUCAAUUUUCCUUUAUAGAUGAUUUUGUACCACAUGAAUCAAUUGUGAAUCAAAUUGAACUUAAAAACAUUCCUCCUCUACAAGGUUUUCAUGACUCUCCCACAGCCCAAUCUAUGUCUACAACAUGCAUGGAAAUAUUGAGCCGAUUUCCUUUAUGUUAUGUUUGGAUUGAAGAAUUUCAAAUCAGAGGAAUUGGAUACUAUUUUAUUUUAAAUUGUUCGAAUGAAAGUAAGUGCAUUUUUCAAUGAUUAAAUUCAUGAAUUGAAAAUAAAAUUCAUAAAUUUAGAGAAGAAUUUGUUUGAGGUGAAUUUAACGCUACACAUUUUUCUAGUUCAAUUCACACUCAAGUAAGAUUUUUAUCCAUAUUCAUGAACCUGACUUAAAUUCAUAAAUCUAAUCAAUAAAAGAAUCCAAGCACUAGUA
rnacentral:misc_RNA from 1 species